rnacentral:rRNA from 1 species
GAUGAACGCUGGCGGCGUGCCUAAUACAUGCAAGUCGAGCGAAUGGAUUAAGAGCUUGCUCUUAUGAAGUUAGCGGCGGACGGGUGAGUAACACGUGGGUAACCUGCCCAUAAGACUGGGAUAACUCCGGGAAACCGGGGCUAAUACCGGAUAACAUUUUGAACCGCAUGGUUCGAAAUUGAAAGGCGGCUUCGGCUGUCACUUAUGGAUGGACCCGCGUCGCAUUAGCUAGGUGGUGAGGUAACGGCUCACCAAGGCAACGGUGCGUAGCCGCCCUGAGAGGGUGAUCGGCCACACUGGGACUGAGACACGGCCCAGACUCCUACGGGAGGCAGCAGUAGGGAAUCUUCCGCAAUGGACGAAAGUCUGACGGAGCAACGCCGCGUGAGUGAUGAAGGCUUUCGGGUCGUAAAACUCUGUUGUUAGGGAAGAACAAGUGCUAGUUGAAUAAGCUGGCACCUUGACGGUACCUAACCAGAAAGCCACGGCUAACUACGUGCCAGCAGCCGCGGUAA